rnacentral:rRNA from 1 species
CCGCGUCUGAUUAGCUAGUUGGUGAGGUAAAAGCUUACCAAGGCGACGAUCAGUAGCUGGUCUGAGAGGAUGAUCAGCCACAUUGGGACUGAGACACGGCCCAAACUCCUACGGGAGGCAGCAGUGGGGAAUCUUGCGCAAUGGGCGAAAGCCUGACGCAGCCAUGCCGCGUGGAUGAUGAAGGUCUUAGGAUUGUAAAAUUCUUUCACCGGGGACGAUAAUGACGGUACCCGGGGAAGAAGCCCCGGCUAACUUCGUGCCAGCAGCCGCGGUAAU